AAGAUGUUCUCGAAGAAAAUGGC
rnacentral:siRNA from 1 species